GUUCUUUUGACAGCCGUGAGCUUCCCCGCCAGGAACUUACUGGGGCUGCAUCACCCUAGAAACGUGGCUUUGGGCUGUGGAAACGCUGCCUCUGUGGAAGUCUCUCCUCGCGGGGGUGGACGGGUCGCUGCGCGCCCAGCGUUCUUCUGCGGUUCUCACAGCCCGCCGCCGCCGCCGCCUCGGGGACCUUUGCGGGGAGGCCUCAGGUACCAGUCAGGACUGGUAGACUUUAAUGUGGAGAACUUCUGAAACAGCAGUUCUCAAAAUGUUACCUCCAGACACACAGAAUCUGCAUCACCCAGGAACUUGUAACCAUGCAAAUUCUCAGCCACCCAGACUUCCUGCAUCAGAAACUCUGGGGCCCAGCAGCCUGUGUUUUAACAAAGCCCUUCAGGCUGGAGUAUAGUGGCAUGAUCAUAGAUCACUGCAGCCUCAAACUCCUGGGCUCAAGCGAUCCUCCCACCUCAGCCUCCAUAUAGCUGGUGGGGACCAAGUUUCUAACACAUGAAUGUUGGGAGACACAUUCAGACCAUCGCAGUGGCCUUAUAAAAAGAGACACAAGAGCUUGCUCUCUGCCAUGUGAGAAUACCACAAGAAGACUGUCCUCAGCAAAUCAGAAAGCGGGUGGACCCUCAUCAGACACCAGAUGUGCCUGCACCUUGAUCUUGGACUUGCCAGCCUUCAGAACAGUAAGAAAGAAAUGUGUGUUGUUUAAGCCACCCAGUCUAUGGUAACUUGCUAUAGCAGCCCACUAGGAGACCCCAAGAUAUUUAAAAACUCAUCAGCACCUGCUUUCUGCAUCUGGACCCUGAUCUUCUGGUGGGUUUACCAGUUACUUGUAGAGUGUCCCUGUGAUAGUUUUAGGUGUCAACUUGACAGGAUUGAGGGAUGCCUAGAUGGCUGGGGAAGCACUGUUUCUGAGAAGGACCAUGUUUUUGGAGGAGACUGUUUUAUGAGUGAAUUUCAGGGGACACAUUCAGAUCAUGGCAGUGGCAUUAUAAAGAGAGACACAAAAGCUUGCUCUCUCUCUCUGCCAUGUAAGACUACCACACAAAGACUGCCAUCUGCAAACCAGAAGCAGGUGGGCUUUCCUCAGACACCAGAUCUGCCUGCACCUUGAUCUUGGACUUGCCAGCCUUCAGAACUCUAAGAAAGAAAUGGUAGCAUGGCUUGGUCUAAGUUGGAAGGCCUGAGAAACAAGCACAUGGUGGAACUGAGUUCAAGGAUAAAGACUUGAGAAUACCUGCUCAGUGGACUGAGUAGGGAAGAUCAACCCUCAAUGUAGGCAGGCACUAUCCAAUCACCUGAGGGCCCAGAUGGAACAAAAAGGUGGAAGAAGGGUGAAUUCUCUCUUCCAGAGCUGUGACACCCUUCUCAUGCCCUUGUACCACACAACUCUAGGUCCUUUGGCCUUUGGACUCUGACACUUGCACCAGUGGCCCUCUGGGGCUCUCAAGCCUUUAGCCUUGAACUUAGUUACACCAUGUGCCUCCUUGUUUCUCAGGCCUUCCAACUUGGAUCAGGCCAUGCCACCGGCUUCUCUGAUUCUCCAGCUUGCAGAUGGUAUAUUGUGACCCUGGCAUUUAAUAACUAUGACUUUGGUCUUAAGCAAUUUUCUUCCUCUGUGGAUUGAUAUUUACAUAUCAAUGUGGAUAAUAAUUUCUUACCACGGUAACUGUUGUGAGGUAAAAAUGAGUUAACAUAAGUAAAACCGAGCACAUGCAAACCAUCCGAAAUGGUUAAUACUUACUAUUUGUACUUGAAGAAAUAAAUGUUUUUGACAAUAAACUUCUUGUGCAGUUUUCCUCA
ensembl:lncRNA LINC00847 long intergenic non-protein coding RNA 847